rnacentral:rRNA from 1 species
CGGUUGAUCCUGCCGGAGGACAUUGCUAUUGGGGUUCGACUAAGGAUUUGCGAGUCGACCGGCGGAACGGAGGGGCGAAUGACUCAGUAACACGUGGUCACCCUACCCUUGCGGGGGGAAUCACCUCGGGAAACUGAGGGUAAUGCCCCAUAGGCGGGGGGGUCUGGAAUGACUCCUCGCUCAAUGGCCUCUGCGCGCGAGGAUGGGGCCGCGGCCGAUUAGGUAGUAGGUGGUGUAACGGACCACCUAGCCUUCGAUCGGUACGGGCCGUGGGAGCGGGAGCCCGGAGACGGGUACUUAGACAAGGACCUGGGCCCUAAGGGGCGCAGCAUUCGCGAAAACUCCCCAAUGCGCGAAAGCGUGAGGGGGGAACCCCAAGUGCCAGCACAAAGUGUUGGCUUUUCGGGAGUGCAAAAAGCUCCAAGAAUAAGGGCUGGGUAAGACCGGUGCCAGCCGCCGCGGUAACACCGGCAGCCCGAGUGAUGUCCGCAAUUAUUGGGCUUAAAGCGUUCGUAGCCGGCCUGCUAAGUCCCCGGUCAAAUCCGACGGCUCAACCGUCGGCUAUCUGGGGAUACUGGCAGGCUUGAGGCCGGGAGAGGUCAGAGGUACUCCUGGGGUAGGGGUAAAAUCCGAUAAUCCUGGGGGGACCACCAGUGGCGAAGGCGUCUGACUGGAACGGGCCUGACGGUGAGGGACGAAACCCUGGGGAGCGAUCCGGAUUAGAUACCCGGGUAGUCCAGGGCGUAAACGAUGUGGGCUGGGUGUGGGCUAAUCAGAAGGAUUAGUCUGUGCCGAAGCGAAAGCGAUAAGCCCACCGCCUGGGGAGUACGGUCGCAAGGCUGAAACUUAAAGGAAUUGGCGGGGGGGCAC